rnacentral:rRNA from 1 species
GACGAGUCGAGUUUUUUGGGAAGGCAGCUUAAAAUGGGAGGUAAAUUUCUUUUAAAGCUAAUUAUUGGCCAGAGACCGAUAGCGCUCAAGUAGAGUGAUCGAAAGAUGAAAAGCACUUUGGAAAGAGAGUCAAAUAGCACGUGAAUUUGUUGAAAGGGAAGCGCUUGCAGCCAGACUUGCCUGUAGUUGCUUAUCUGGGCUUUUGCCUAGUGCACUUUUCUGCGGGCAGGCCAGCAUCAGUUUGGGCGGUUGGAUAAGGGUUUCUGUCAUGUACUUCCUUUCGGGGAGGACUUAUAGGGGAGGCGACAUGCAACCAGCCUGGACUGAGGUCCGCGCAUCUGCUAGGAUGCUGGCGUAAUGGCUGUAAGCGGCCCGUCUUAAACACGGACCCAGGGGGUCCA